UCCGCUCGCUCUCUCGCUUCUGCCUUCCUUGCAGUGCACGGGGCCACCCGCACUCCUCCUCCUCUUCUUCUUCCUCGGUCCCUGCCGCGCGUGCGCCUCUCGCUCGCUCGCUCUCUCCCCAAGCUCGUUUCAUUCGCCCAUGUCCUCGCCCUCGCCGCCGGUCAUCCCCGGGAGCAGGAGCAGCCGAGCGUCGCCGCCGAUCACCGCUUCACCAGGUCAGUCAGUUCAUCUGCUAGCUUGUUGCUGUUGUUUCCGUGCCAUGUCGUGUCCUGUCUGUCUGUUGCAACAGGUCAGGUCAGGUCCGGCGCCGUUGUGAGGGACGGGACGAUUAAUUUGGGUCCUCGGCCAAUCGCUCUUCCGCAUCUUGCCAUCAUUCAGUUAGUUCAGACUCGAGCUACAUCUUGGCAGAGCGGCUGGAAAUGACAAUUUGUUCAGACUGGAGGAGCAGCGGCUUUCUUUCCUGUGCAUCACAAGUUCAGAACACACGCCCUGGCUUCCUUCCUUCAGCUUUCGACGUGCGCCACAUCAGUCAGAGACGGACAAAACAAGCAGCAUCCAUCAAUCCAUGUGCACUUUGGCUGGCCUCCAUUUACACUCUCGCGGCGGCGGAGCACUGAGCAGUGACCUAAGGGCGCAUUUGAGAGAGAUGAAGCAAGCAGCAGGAUGCAAAGACAAGUCUGUCGUCUCGGCGCAACAGUCCAGCUCGUACGGCUUUCGCUUGCUGAGGUCUUGUAUUUAAAAACGGAUUGAGUAUAUGCCAGUGUUAUACGGGAGUACUAUAUCAGCAACUAACAUUGUACAGGUAAGAAAAAUAUUCAUCUACCCCAGAAGGGUGCAGCAAAGUGAAGAUCGAGUCGAUUUAUUCAAAGGGAUGAUCACAGCACAACAAUGGAGUACACAAGAACGGCGACAGCAACAACGCAACGCAACAUGCGGCCGUGUACAUAUUGGUAACAGCUUAAUUACACUCAUCACACAAGGUACAUCCGAUCCAUUUGCUCUCUCCGAGCUAAUACAAUGUAUGGCAACACAUCUCAAUCACCACGCCCCGUGACGCUUCUGCCCAGGUGCGCAACGCAGGUACAGCUCCUCUGUUCUUCAGUCUCGAAACGUUGUUUCCGCCGAGAGCAGAGGGCUUUCUCAAGGGAGGAGGAAAAAUAGGUUCGAUUCUUGCGGAGAUGCUACUCUAAAUCCGUCUCAUCUCCGCGGAUGGUAUACGGAGGAGACAUGAAAUAUGAUCUCCUCGCCGGCUUCGGGGGUAUAAUUUACAUGUCUUUUGUUU